rnacentral:rRNA from 1 species
AAUAGAUACCCAGGGUAGUCCACGCCGUAAACGAUGAGUGCUAAGUGUUAGAGGGUUUCCGCCCUUUAGUGCUGCAGCUAACGCAUUAAGCACUCCGGCCUGGGGAGUACGGUCGCAAGACUGAAACUCAAAGGAAUUGACGGGGGCCCGCACAAGCGGUGGAGCAUGUGGUUUAAUUCGAAGCAACGCGAAGAACCUUACCAGGUCUUGACAUCCUCUGACAACUCUAGAGAUAGAGUGUUCCCCUUCGGGGGACAGAGUGACAGGUGGUGCAUGGUUGUCGUCAGCUCGUGUCGUGAGAUGUUGGGUUAAGUCCCGCAACGAGCGCAACCCUUGAUCUUAGUUGCCAGCAUUUAGUUGGGCACUCUAAGGUGACUGCCGGUGACAAACCGGAGGAAGGUGGGGAUGACGUCAAAUCAUCAUGCCCCUUAUGACCUGGGCUACACACGUGCUACAAUGGAUGGUACAAAGGGCUGCAAGACCGCGAGGUCAAGCCAAUCCCAUAAAACCAUUCUCAGUUCGGAUUGU